AUGAGUCCCUGGAGCUGGUUCCUGCUGCCGACCCUCUGCUUCCUGCCCACGGGCGCAGACCCGCGGCGCGGCGCGCCUGCCUCCGCCAGCUGCGAGCUCAAGCCCCAGCAAAGUGAAUUGAAUUCCUUCUUGUGGACCAUAAAGCGAGACCCGCCAUCUUACUUCUUUGGCACGAUCCAUGUUCCGUACACUCGGGUUUGGGACUUCAUCCCGGACAACUCCAAGGAAGCUUUUCAGCAGAGCAGCAUUGUGUACUUCGAGCUGGACCUCACUGACCCCUACACAAUCUCGGCCCUCACUAGUUGUCAGAUGCUGCCACAGGGAGAGAACCUCCAGGACGUGCUCCCCCGGGACAUCUACUGCCGCCUCAAGCGACACUUAGAGUACGUCAAGCUCAUGAUGCCCUCGUGGAUGACGCCGGACCAGCAUGGCAAAGGCCUCUAUGCCGACUACCUCUUCAAUGCCAUUGCGGGGAACUGGGAGCGGAAGAGGCCCAUCUGGGUGAUGCUUAUGGUCAACUCCCUGACGGAAGUGGACAUUAAGUCCCGUGGGGUGCCUGUCUUAGACCUGUACCUUGCCCAGGAGGCUGAGCGGCUGAGGAAGCAGACUGGGGCUGUGGAAAAGGUGGAAGAGCAGUGCCAUCCACUGAAUGGGCUGAACUUCUCACAGGUCAUCUUUGCUUUGAACCAGACCCUCCUGCAGCAGGAGAGCCUUCGAGCAGGCAGCCUUCAGAUCCCCUACACGACGGAGGAUCUCAUCAAACACUAUAACUGUGGGGACCUCAGCUCUGUCAUCUUCAGCCAUGACAGCUCCCAGGUUCCCAAUUUUAUUAACGCCACGCUGCCGCCCCAGGAGCGCGUCACGGCGCAGGAGAUCGACAGCUACUUCCGCCAGGAGCUUAUCUACAAGCGGAAUGAGAGAAUGGGGAAGCGGGUGAAGGCGCUCUUGGAAGAGUUUCCUGACAAAGGCUUUUUCUUUGCCUUUGGAGCUGGUCAUUUCAUGGGCAACAACACAGUACUUGAUGUCUUGCGGCGCGAAGGCUAUGAGGUAGAACACGCCCCUGCUGGACGAACCAUCAACAAAGAGAAGAGCCAAACUCCGUCCUUGGGGCCCACCUUCUCGUCCAUCUUUGCUCCGGAAGUGCCUGCUGUGGACAUGCGAGCUCCGGAAGCUGCGUUUGUGGCCCACUCGCUGUUUCUGCCUCACGAGUCCCCGCCUGGAAGUGCGGACCUGGGUGGUGGGGCGGAGCCGAAGUAUCGGAAGAAGCGGAGGCGGCCACGCCCACAGCGAAGGCACCGGCUUAGGCAGUUCAGUGAUCUGUGGGUUCGACUGGAGGAGCGUGUCAUGGUCCCACAGCUCCAGGUCCCCAUUCUGGAUAGGUCCGUCUCCGCCGAGCUGCAGCUCCUUCACCGUGGGCAUUCCCACCACAGCCAGUUGGUAGCCAGCAGUGCCUGCCUGUCUCUCUGGACUCCUGUGUUCUGGGUGCUGGCGCUGGCUUUCCAAACAGAGGCACCCCUCCUGUAAUGACUGGAGGGGCCAGGCCAAGCCCCUGACCCCAUGGACUUGAAGGAUGGCCAUUCCUGUACUCCACACUCUGGUCUAGCCUUGAUAGGCCCAACCCAAGAAAAGAGAGUAAAAUGCAGUGUUGGUUCUUCUCUGUCCAAGAAUUGACUUUGGGUUAUCCAGCAGAGCUUGGGCUGCUGUGGUGCCCGAUGUCCACCUCUGACUUCUGCUACAGCCAUUCCCAUGGCUUAGUAAGCACCUUUUCCUGCUCGGAACGCCAAGAGUAGCCUCGGAUUCCUGCUCUGAACUCUAAGAAAAGGAAGCACCUGGGACCAUGUGACUGCAGUGGACACCAGGCCUUUCGUAUUAGCGUGAGGAGGAAGGAAGCCCCUGUGGGUAAGGCAUGGCUGAGCUCUGACGGGCUACUGACGGGAAGCUGCCUGACUCACCUGGGGGAGGGGAGCAGGUUUAAGAGAUGAGGACAGCGCUGCCUAAAGAGGCUACAUUUACCAACCUUGCCCAGCUACUGGAGAUGGAGCCUGGCCCCUAGGCCCCCAGAGCCUGCCCUGCCGGGUCACACGGCCAGACGUAUCACCUUCAGCCACUGCAGACCACUGAAAUGAACCACUGCAGAACUCUUGAUAGUAUUCAGAAAGUAUCAUCUUGAUGUGAGGCGGAACACAGGAAAAUAGAGGUGAGGUGGCACCACCGGUUUUUUCAUAUCCUUAACUUGGAUUUGAUAAUCAUUUUGGGGUAAGAGACAUAAGGGCAAGGUAAGGUCAUAUGCUUUUCUUGGCUCUCCCCCAAGAUCAUCGUUAGGUUGUGGGACCAAUGUGUUAGAAUUUUCUCCACAAUUUAAGGGAAAGCCCUUGUUAAUUCUCUCCAAAGUUGGGUUGACAAAGGGAAAUGGAGGUGUUUUUUAACACACUUAGAAGAAAAGAGGAUUGAGCUUUCUUUAACAACCUGACAAGAAGAAGAGAAGUUCAAAAUCCCGUGAAGAUGUGAUGCUUAGUGCCAAAAUAAAACAUGGCGAACCUUGACACCACUGGUAGCUGAGAGAAACCUUGUGGUGAACAGAGCGCACUACUGGGGAUGCUUGUUUUCUGUGCAUACUGGACACCUGAGUGUUGAGAACACAUGGCAGAUGGAGGCGCUCUUGAACAGAAUGUGGAACAGGCAGACAGGAACAGGUGACACAAGAAGCCCUGACAAGCAGGAGCAGCACUUCCGUGAGACUUGACUCUGAGUGACUUCUGGAAGGGAAGCACUAACACAGCACUCCCAGUUACUCCCUGACGUCCCCAUGAGCAGUGCUCACAUGAUAUAGGGUUUGCAUAACGGAAGAAGGUAUGAAGCGAGAAGGGGCAUCUUCAAAACUGCCCCAAAGAGGAGGGUGGAGAGAGAGUGCAAGGAAGUGCUAUCACAUUCUACUCUGGAACAACAAGGAAGACUAAGAUUCUCUUUCUUUCCCUAGUGUUCCCAGGUGUAGACAAAGGGCAACCUGGGGAUAGGGUUUGUUUGUGAAGGGUUGUUGUGAAGGGUUAUAAAACUAAGUUGUUGGAGAUAGUUGCAAGGUCUUUGCUGUUCUUUUGGUUUUCUGUUUUCAGUUAGUGGUUCUGGGGAGCCUUUUGGCCAAUGGGCUUUCUAAGGUUCCCUUCUCUGGCUCCCUUGUCCCUCUAUAUUGCUGCCUGUCUGUCCUCUUCUCCCAAUGCCCAUUUCUUUCAGCUGGAUAUUCCUGGGUUGGGAGUUUGUUUCUAGAAAGUCAAAGGGUCUAGGGCAGGGGCCAUGAAAAAUCACUGUGGGAACUGCUGUUCGGUAUUGGUUCGGUAUUGAAAGGAGAGCUCAAAGGGGGUCUGCACAAGCUUUCUGUCUAGACCCGACUGCCCAAAAGAAACGUAAU